rnacentral:rRNA from 1 species
CCUACGGGGGGCAGCAGUGGGGAAUAUUGCACAAUGGGCGGAAGCCUGAUGCAGCAACGCCGCGUGCGGGAUGACGGCCUUCGGGUUGUAAACCGCUUUCGCCUGUGACGAAGCGUGAGUGACGGUAAUGGGUAAAGAAGCACCGGCUAACUACGUGCCAGCAGCCGCGGUGAUACGUAGGGUGCGAGCGUUGUCCGGAUUUAUUGGGCGUAAAGGGCUCGUAGGUGGUUGAUCGCGUCGGAAGUGUAAUCUUGGGGCUUAACCCUGAGCGUGCUUUCGAUACGGGUUGACUUGAGGAAGGUAGGGGAGAAUGGAAUUCCUGGUGGAGCGGUGGAAUGCGCAGAUAUCAGGAGGAACACCAGUGGCGAAGGCGGUUCUCUGGGCCUUUCCUGACGCUGAGGAGCGAAAGCGUGGGGAGCGAACAGGAUUAGAUACCCU